GAUGAACGCUGGCGGUAUGCUUAACACAUGCAAGUCGAACGGUGCUUUAGGGCAUAGUGGCGGACGGGUGAGUAACGCGUGAGAAUCUGGCUUCAGGUUUGGGACAACCACUGGAAACGGUGGCUAAUACCGGAUAUGCCGAGAGGUGAAAGGCUUGCCGCCUGAAGAUGAGCUCGCGUCUGAUUAGCUAGUAGGUGUGGUAAAGGCGCACCUAGGCGACGAUCAGUAGCUGGUCUGAGAGGAUGAUCAGCCACACUGGGACUGAGACACGGCCCAGACUCCUACGGGAGGCAGCAGUGGGGAAUUUUCCGCAAUGGGCGAAAGCCUGACGGAGCAAUACCGCGUGAGGGAGGAAGGGCUCUUGGGUUGUAAACCUCUUUUCUCAGGGAGAAAAAAUGACGGUACCUGAGGGAAUAAGCAUCGGCUAACUCCGUGCCAGCAGCCGCGGUAAG
rnacentral:rRNA from 1 species